GCAAACAGGUUUUUGCAUGGUUCCCCAUUAAAGUCAUAAUAAAUGGCUGGGGAUCAAAUGGGAAUGUAGACAGGGACUACCCGAAUGGGGCCUAAAGCUGCAACCGCCCCCGCGACUGUGUGCGGAGAGUGAAGCCCAAAGCCACUGGUGAAAACUGGGAAGGCGGGCAAAACGAUCUAUCCGUGAGUCAGGAAACCAGCCUUGCAACGGCGUUAUCG
rfam:alpha proteobacterium HTCC2255 scf_1100007007381 genomic scaffold, whole genome shotgun sequence.